rnacentral:rRNA from 1 species
GCUUAACGCGAAGAACCUUACCAAGGCUUGACAUACACCGGUAAACAUCCAGAGAUCGGGUGACCCCCUUGUGGUCGGUGUACAGGUGGUGCAUGGCUGUCGUCAGCUCGUGUCGUGAGAUGUUCGGGGUUAAGUACCCGCAACGAGCGCAACCCUUGUACCCGUGUUGCCAGCAGGCCCUUGUGGUGCUCGGGGACUCACCGGGAGACCGACCCGGGGUCAACUCGGAGGAAGGUCGGGGACGACGUCAAGUCAUCAUGACCCCUUAUGUCUUGGGCUGCACACGUGCUACAAUGGCCGGUACAAAGAGCUGCGAUACCGUGAGGUGGAGCGAAUCUCUAAAAAGCCGGUCUCAGUUCGGAUUCGGGGUCUGCAACUCGAACCCCAUGAAGUCGGAGUCGCUAGUAAUCGCAGAUCAGCAUUGCUGCGGUGAAUACGUUCCCGGGUCUUGUACACACCG